GACGAACGCUGGCGGCGUGCUUAACACAUGCAAGUCGAACGGAAAGGCCCUGCUUUUGUGGGGUGCUCGAGUGGCGAACGGGUGAGUAACACGUGAGUAACCUGCCCUUGACUUUGGGAUAACUUCAGGAAACUGGGGCUAAUACCGGAUAGGAGCUCCUGCUGCAUGGUGGGGGUUGGAAAGUUUCGGCGGUUGGGGAUGGACUCGCGGCUUAUCAGCUUGUUGGUGGGGUAGUGGCUUACCAAGGCUUUGGCGGGUAGCCGGCCUGAGAGGGUGACCGGCCACAUUGGGACUGAGAUACGGCCCAGACUCCUACGGGAGGCAGCAGUGGGGAAUAUUGCACAAUGGGCGGAAGCCUGAUGCAGCAACGCCGCGUGCGGGGUGACGGCCUUCGGGUUGUAAACCGCUUUCGCCUGUGACGAAGCGUGAGUGACGGUAAUGGGUAAAGAAGCACCGGCUAACUACGUG
rnacentral:rRNA from 1 species